GUUAAGCGACUAAGCGUACACGGUGGAUGCCCUGGCAGUCAGAGGCGAUGAAGGACGUGCUAAUCUGCGAUAAGCGUCGGUAAGGUGAUAUGAACCGUUAUAACCGGCGAUUUCCGAAUGGGGAAACCCAGUGUGUUUCGACACACUAUCAUUAACUGAAUCCAUAGGUUAAUGAGGCGAACCGGGGGAACUGAAACAUCUAAGUACCCCGAGGAAAAGAAAUCAACCGAGAUUCCCCCAGUAGCGGCGAGCGAACGGGGAGCAGCCCAGAGCCUGAAUCAGUGUGUGUGUUAGUGGAAGCGUCUGGAAAGGCGCGCGAUACAGGGUGACAGCCCCGUACACAAAAAUGCACAUGCUGUGAGCUCGAUGAGUAGGGCGGGACACGUGGUAUCCUGUCUGAAUAUGGGGGGACCAUCCUCCAAGGCUAAAUACUCCUGACUGACCGAUAGUGAACCAGUACCGUGAGGGAAAGGCGAAAAGAACCCCGGCGAGGGGAGUGAAAAAGAACCUGAAACCGUGUACGUACAAGCAGUGGGAGCACGCUUAGGCGUGUGACUGCGUACCUUUUGUAUAAUGGGUCAGCGACUUAUAUUCUGUAGCAAGGUUAACCGAAUAGGGGAGCCGAAGGGAAACCGAGUCUUAACUGGGCGUUAAGUUGCAGGGUAUAGACCCGAAACCCGGUGAUCUAGCCAUGGGCAGGUUGAAGGUUGGGUAACACUAACUGGAGGACCGAACCGACUAAUGUUGAAAAAUUAGCGGAUGACUUGUGGCUGGGGGUGAAAGGCCAAUCAAACCGGGAGAUAGCUGGUUCUCCCCGAAAGCUAUUUAGGUAGCGCCUCGUGAAUUCAUCUCCGGGGGUAGAGCACUGUUUCGGCAAGGGGGUCAUCCCGACUUACCAACCCGAUGCAAACUGCGAAUACCGGAGAAUGUUAUCACGGGAGACACACGGCGGGUGCUAACGUCCGUCGUGAAGAGGGAAACAACCCAGACCGCCAGCUAAGGUCCCAAAGUCAUGGUUAAGUGGGAAACGAUGUGGGAAGGCCCAGACAGCCAGGAUGUUGGCUUAGAAGCAGCCAUCAUUUAAAGAAAGCGUAAUAGCUCACUGGUCGAGUCGGCCUGCGCGGAAGAUGUAACGGGGCUAAACCAUGCACCGAAGCUGCGGCAGCGACACUAUGUGUUGUUGGGUAGGGGAGCGUUCUGUAAGCCUGUGAAGGUGUGCUGUGAGGCAUGCUGGAGGUAUCAGAAGUGCGAAUGCUGACAUAAGUAACGAUAAAGCGGGUGAAAAGCCCGCUCGCCGGAAGACCAAGGGUUCCUGUCCAACGUUAAUCGGGGCAGGGUGAGUCGACCCCUAAGGCGAGGCCGAAAGGCGUAGUCGAUGGGAAACAGGUUAAUAUUCCUGUACUUGGUGUUACUGCGAAGGGGGGACGGAGAAGGCUAUGUUGGCCGGGCGACGGUUGUCCCGGUUUAAGCGUGUAGGCUGGUUUUCCAGGCAAAUCCGGAAAAUCAAGGCUGAGGCGUGAUGACGAGGCACUACGGUGCUGAAGCAACAAAUGCCCUGCUUCCAGGAAAAGCCUCUAAGCAUCAGGUAACAUCAAAUCGUACCCCAAACCGACACAGGUGGUCAGGUAGAGAAUACCAAGGCGCUUGAGAGAACUCGGGUGAAGGAACUAGGCAAAAUGGUGCCGUAACUUCGGGAGAA
rnacentral:rRNA from 1 species